rnacentral:rRNA from 1 species
GAUGAACGCUGACAGAAUGCUUAACACAUGCAAGUCUUUGGCGAAGCUGUGCUUGCACAGCCUAGCCAAGGCGGACGGGUGAGUAACGCGUAAGGAACUUGCCCUGCAGUCAGGGAUAACAGACGGAAACGACUGAUAAGACCUGGUAAAGUCAGGCGGACUCAUGUCCAGCCUGAUGAAAAGAGAUGCUGCAGGAGAGCCUUGCGUCCUAUUAGCUUGUUGGUGGGGUAACGGCCCACCAAGGCGAUGAUAGGUAGCCGGCCUGAGAGGGUGGACGGCCACAAGGGGACUGAGAUACAGCCCUUACUCCUACGGGAGGCGGCAGUGGGGAAUAUUGGACAAUGGGGGCAACCCUGAUCCAGCAAUUCUGUGUGCACGAUGAAGGUUUUCGGAUUGUAAAGUGCUUUCAGCAGGGAAGAAAAAAAUGACGGUACCUGCAGAAGAAGCGACGGCUAAAUACGUG